GGGGAUGUUUGGAUUCGAUGGCAUGUUCUUGUAAAAUACGCGCGAAACCGAGCAACGCUUUGUGCGCUCGUAAAACUCACCAAAGCAUCCAAUAAGUGCAAAAAACACUUUAGCGAAAGUGCAGGCCGCCUUCUCAUGGAAGGUGCCGGCUUUCGUCACCGUCGCCGCUUAAUCUUAAGCGCGCGGCCAUCCGGUCUGGCAAUGACCUGCUAGCCAAAUCCCGGGUGUCAUUUUUGCAGGCGUAGGUUUGCCGUUGCGGCGUUGGGCAACAAACCGAAAUCCUUCAAUGCCACGCCACAAGCGCUUUUGCCUUAUUUUUAGCUUGUGGUAAAAUCCAAAUAGGGCUUACGUUUCGUACACGCGUAUUUACACGCUUGCCAGACGCGGGUUCGAUUCCCGCCAUCUCCACUA
rnacentral:tmRNA from 2 species